UAGCUGAGUCUUCAUCUUUCUCAGCUCCUAUCUCUCCAGUGAAAUGAACACCGGUUGGUCUUUUCCUCUCUGUCUCCCAUGGCAGCCAUGCUCUGUGGCAGAGAGAAGAGGAUUGCCUAUUCCCUCUUAAAGGGAACCUCCUGUUUGCUUUCUGUCACCACUGUCUUAAUGCCUUCUGUCAAAACCAGCUAGGGCUCCCUGGGGUCCGAUCCCUCUGUGUUUAAUCUUCUGACAUCUCUCUCCCACCUGGCUCAAUAGGGAGGUGCAGAAGGCUGAAGAGAAGGAAGAGCCUGAGGACUCACUGGAGGAAUAUUCCAUCGCUUGUUCAAAUAGCCACGGUCCUUGUGAGUCCAAGCAGCCUCACAGCAACACCAAAAUCACAUUCGAGGAAGACCAAGUCAACUCACGUCUCAUUGACUCAUCCUCUCAAGAUGAAUGGGAGGAUGCUGUAUCCAUUAUCCCAGAAAAUGAAAGUGAUCAUGAAGAAGAGGAAGAAAAAGGGCCAGUGUCUCCCAGGUAAUGCUGUGGAAUUGUGAGCUGUGAAUUCAGUAGUGACAUCUGGAGAUUGUAGAUUUAAGGAAAACGAGGAAGCGAUGAAUAGAACGAUUUCUUUCAUUCACUCAGCUACAAAUUGUCCUUAUUAACAAUGUUGUGCAUUAUUUGUGGCACUUGUAUUGGUUUUAAUUUCAUAGUCCUCUCAAGAUAAGUACUUGCAAUCAGUUGAGCCAGGUGAACUAGCCAAAGAGGGAUAUCUUG